CAGUCGCCACGGGAAUACGAAGGGUGCAAGCGUUAAUCGGAAUUACUGGGCGUAAAGCGUGCGUAGGCGGUUUGUUAAGUCUGCUGUGAAAUCCCCGGGCUCAACCUGGGAAUGGCAGUGGAUACUGGCAAGCUAGAGUGUGUCAGAGGAUGGUGGAAUUCCCGGUGUAGCGGUGAAAUGCGUAGAGAUCGGGAGGAACAUCAGUGGCGAAGGCGGCCAUCUGGGACAACACUGACGCUGAAGCACGAAAGCGUGGGGAGCAAACAGGAUUAGAUACCCCGGUAGUCCCUGUCUCUUAUAC
rnacentral:rRNA from 1 species